GCCUCUAUGGUGUAGUUGGUUAUCACGCAGGUCUCAUAUCACAUGACUCUUCUGUCAACAGAAGGGAUGUUCCUGAAAUCCUGAGGUCUCCAGUUCGAUCCUGGAUGGAGGCA